rnacentral:lncRNA from 1 species
GAUGCCACGGGACGGCCGCGUGGGCUUUGUGCGGCGCCGCCCUGCGAACUAGGAGCUGGGACGCGCCGGUGCUCCGGGCUGGCACAGCUAAGCUGUUCACUCCUGCUCUUGCCAUUCGUCCAGCGGUCUCGAGUGAAUGCUGUAGUCUUGCAAAGCAGUUGUUGACAAGUCAGAAGACCUUCAUCUUGUUUUUGCAUAAUAAAGCCCAGCUGCUCUGCACCGGGAAGGCUCUGCUCUCUCUGCUCUCGGAUGAGAUGGCCUCUGCCAAAACCCCCGUUCCUGUCUCUGCCCGGUCUCCGCUGCCCACUGUUCUCAUCUUCAGACCUGGGAGCUCACCCCAUCCUCUUUGCUCUGAGACCACCCACCUAGUCCUCCACCAGGAUAGAGGAAAAAGUUCUUACUGGAAGCCCAAGGAACAAAGCAAAGGUGACAGAAACUCCAACCCAAACUGGCUUCAGCAGAGAAAGUUUAGCUCACGUGAUCGCCAAGGGUAGACACAUCAAAUCAUGUCACUCGCGCGGGCAAGCCUUUCCUCUCCACCCUUCGUGUCCACUGGCCCUAUCGUCUCGGCAGCUUCCUGCCUGUGCAGCACGACAGCUGCUGCAGCUCUAGGCUCACGUGCUCCCUACUGUCAAGGGGAAAUGAGUCUACCCUCUCCCUGCAGCCCCAGGAAGGCUCUACCCUGAACCAGCCGUGGCUAGGGAGAAGGUAUAAAUCUGACUGUCCAGGCCUGGAUAGUGUGUCCCAGGAGAGGUGGAGAGAGAGGGAAACUGGUGUGGAUCACGGAGGGAGAAAUAGAUUUCUAAAAGAAAAUGGAGGUGCUAGUAUCACAAUUAGUGAAACGGUGCAGAAUGGUCGCAAGAGAACACGUCUACUUCACUGGAUGUUUCUUUAAUUAAAAAAUGUACAGGCCGGGCAUGGUGGCGCACGCCUAUAAUCCCAGCACUCAGGAGGCUGAGGCAGGAGGAUCGCUGUGAGUUUGAGACCAGCCUGAGCUACAUAGUGAGUUCCAGGUCAGUCUCAACUACGUAGUGAGACCCUGUCUCAAAAAAGAAAAAAUGUAAUAGCUAAAACUUGGAAACAACCUAUUUGCCCAUCCGUUGGAAACUGGAUAAAGAAGUUGUGGUUUUUCUAUAAAAUGGAAUAUUACUCAGCCAUAAAGAGCGACAGAAUAGAUUCAUUCAUAGGAAAAUGGAUACAUAUUGAAGAUAUACUAAGUGAAAUAAAUAAGUUACACAUGUGUAAAUACCAAAUAGUUUCCCUGGUGUGAAUAUUCUGCAACAAUGCAUAAGAUUCUAAUAAGAUUACUGACAUUUAGAAAUUUGAAGAAAAGAGCUAAAGGUGUAGGGAAGGUGUGAUACGUAGGGGAAGAACAAAAAGGGAAAAGAAAAAAAUGUGAGAGAAUGAAAAGAUGAAAAUAAAGUGUUUGUAGAGGGGGAGGGGAGGAGGGGGUGAAGGGAGGGCAGAGGUAAGGGGAAAAAAUGAGAAUCAAGACUUGCCAUGUAAAGGUACACGAUCCCAACAAUGAAUGUAACUGUACUGUAUCCCUAAAUGUACCAAUAAACUCAAUAAAAUUAAAUUAAAAAAAAUGUACUCUCACUGACAUCCUUUGGGAACCUGGUGACUGCUGCAGUAACAGAAGAGUGGGAGCUGCAGGGGCCCUCUGUGAGCUGCAGUGAAAAGAGAUGAGGCCAGCAUGGGCGACAGCCUCAGAGCGCGUUCCCCAAGCUGGCAGUGGCAACUUUACUUGGGAACUUGAGAGAAAUACACAGGUUCAGGCCCCGUCCCACUUACUGAACUAGAAUCUUCAGGGGCAGAUCAAGCCUGAGCCACCUUCCCAGCCUCUUUAAAUUUUGAGACAGUUUUG